rnacentral:miRNA from 1 species
GACUUCAAUAUUCGACGUCGUAAACACGAUCAAGUUUGGUGUUUAUGACGUCGAUAUUCGACGUCAGAAACACGAACCAGUUUGGUGUUGAUGACGUCGAUAUUCGACGUCAUAAACAUGAUCAACUUUGGUGUUUAUGACAUCGAUAUUCGACGUCAUAAACACGAACAAGUUUGGUGUUUAUGACGUCGAUAUUGGACGUCAUAAACACGAACAAGUUUGGUGUUUAUGACGUCGAUAUUCGACGUC